GUCCAGGGGCGGGAAUCGAACCCACAACCUUCUGCUUACCUGGCAGGUGCCAUGUCCACUAGGCUACCCUGGA